rnacentral:misc_RNA from 1 species
UACGAAGGCCCCGAGCGUUAUCCGGAAUUAUUGGGUGUAAAGGGUGCGUAGGUGGUCUUGCGCGUCUGUUGUUAAAUCUCACCGCUCAACGGUGAAACCGCAAUGGAUACGGCAAGACUAGAGGACGCGAGAGGUCUGUGGAACUCACGGUGUAGGGGUGAAAUCCGUUGAUAUCGUGGGGAACACCAAAGGCGAAGGCAGCCGACUGGCGCGUUUCUGACACUGAGGCACGAGAGCGUUGGGAGCAAAAAGG